UUGGAUGUUAAUAAUAUAUGUGAAAUGAAAUUAAAAUCAUAUAUAACUUUGCUAUUUUUUUGUCCUGUAAUUCAACUUUAUGUUUUGUUAAGUAAUUGAAGACCAAAGUUCCGCAUAUUUAAUCAACAAAACUAAACUAAAAUAAUUUUUGUUUUAAGGUUUUCCACAAUAAAAGCCAGUUUGUUCCACCAUUCAAAGGUAACUCAGUCAUCCAUGAAACUGAAUACAAAAGAAAUUUCAAGGGUUUAUCUCCAGUGAAAGAACCGAAAUUAAGAAAUGAUUUGAGAGAAAACAGAAAUCUUGAAACAGUGUCUCCUGAAAGGAAGAGUAAUAAAAUAGAUGAUCAUUUAAAAUUGGAAGCAGAGAUGGAAUUAAAAGACUUACACCAGCCUAAAAGGAAGCUUACUCCUUGGAAACAUCAAAGGCUUGGGUAUGUAUUUUAAUAGGAAAAUAUGGUAUUUCAAUGAUUAACAUGGUGAAAUAUUUACUUUCAUUUCAUUUCUAUUAGGAAGGUGAAUUCCGAAUAUAGAGCAAAAUUUCUGAGCCCAGCUCAGUAUUUAUAUAAAGCUGGGGCUUGGACAC
rnacentral:sRNA from 1 species